UUGGUUUAUUUUAAGGCCAACUUUUAACGUUAAUCUUCUGAUCAUAUCCUGGAAUACAGAUUCCGGGUCUUUCUAUCGAUUGCAAAAUAUCAUACAAGUAUAAACACAUAUUUUAAAAUUGCCUUCAUAGCUUUAACUGCAAGUGAGACGUUUACGUUUAACAAAUCAUGUUUUAUUUUUUGCAGUUUUCCAGGUUGCUAUGGUGGCAUUAUUGCAUAGAUGAGAGACCAUCCAUGAUUCAUACACAACAUCGACUGACGUGGUUUCAGAUUUGUUGCAGGAAGGGUGACCGUGUGUACAUACAGAUCAUGGACUUAGGUGUUGUCAGAACUGGAGCAUAAAUGGGUUCCAUGGAAACGUGUCUCUACAUCUAGGCAAUGGUAUAAUUGAUGGCCGACGUUCAGAUGUACAAAGUUAUACAGCAGAUUUGGAGCAUAAAGGGUGUGUAUGUUUACGUUUUUAGCACGACUAUUCGAAGAAUAGGGGAUCAUCCUACUCGCCCCGGCGUCGGCGUGAG